CUUCAACUUCAAUUAUACCAGGUUGCCUGGCGGCUUUUGUGAUUUAGCAAUUGUUUGCAUGACAAAUUGCAUAGUCACAAAAGUGAUCAGGAGCCUUGGAGCUUGCUACUAACAUUAU
rnacentral:pre_miRNA from 9 species